rnacentral:sRNA from 1 species
GCCGGGCACGGUGCUGCACACCUGUAAUCCCAGCGGCUGGGGAGGCUGAGGCAGGAGGAUUGUGAGUUCAGAGCCAGCCUCAGCAAAAGCAAGGCCUUCAGCUCCUCAGUGAGACCCUGUCUCUA